rnacentral:rRNA from 1 species
GGGUUGUGAGGUUAAGCGACUAAGCGUACACGGUGGAUGCCCUGGCAGUCAGAGGCGAUGAAGGACGUGCUAAUCUGCGAAAAGCGUCGGUAAGGUGAUAUGAACCGUUAUAGCCGGCGAUGUCCGAAUGGGGAAACCCAGUGCAAUUCGUUGCACUAUCGUUAACUGAAUACAUAGGUUAACGAGGCGAACCGGGGGAACUGAAACAUCUAAGUACCCCGAGGAAAAGAAAUCAACCGAGAUUCCCCCAGUAGCGGCGAGCGAACGGGGAGCAGCCCAGAGUCUGAAUCAGCUUGUGUGUUAGUGGAACGGUCUGGAAAGUCCGACGGUACAGGGUGAUAGUCCCGUACACCAAAAUGCACAGGCUGUGAACUCGAAGAGUAGGGCGGGACACGUGGUAUCCUGUCUGAAUAUGGGGGGACCAUCCUCCAAGGCUAAAUACUCCUGACUGACCGAUAGUGAACCAGUACCGUGAGGGAAAGGCGAAAAGAACCCCGGCGAGGGGAGUGAAAAAGAACCUGAAACCGUGUACGUACAAGCAGUGGGAGCACCUUCGGGUGUGACUGCGUACCUUUUGUAUAAUGGGUCAGCGACUUAUAUUCUGUAGCAAGGUUAACCGUAUAGGGGAGCCGCAGGGAAACCGAGUCUUAACUGGGCGUUAAGUUGCAGGGUAUAGACCCGAAACCCGGUGAUCUAGCCAUGGGCAGGUUGAAGGUUGGGUAACACUAACUGGAGGACCGAACCGACUAAUGUUGAAAAAUUAGCGGAUGACUUGUGGCUGGGGGUGAAAGGCCAAUCAAACCGGGAGAUAGCUGGUUCUCCCCGAAAGCUAUUUAGGUAGCGCCUCGUGAACUCAUCUUCGGGGGUAGAGCACUGUUUCGGCUAGGGGGUCAUCCCGACUUACCAACCCGAUGCAAACUACGAAUACCGAAGAAUGUUAUCACGGGAGACACACGGCGGGUGCUAACGUCCGUCGUGAAGAGGGAAACAACCCAGACCGCCAGCUAAGGUCCCAAAGUCAUGGUUAAGUGGGAAACGAUGUGGGAAGGCACAGACAGCCAGGAUGUUGGCUUAGAAGCAGCCAUCAUUUAAAGAAAGCGUAAUAGCUCACUGGUCGAGUCGGCCUGCGCGGAAGAUGUAACGGGGCUAAACCAUGCACCGAAGCUGCGGCAGCGACACUAUGUGUUGUUGGGUAGGGGAGCGUUCUGUAAGCCUGCGAAGGUGUGCUGUGAGGCAUGCUGGAGGUAUCAGAAGUGCGAAUGCUGACAUAAGUAACGAUAAAGCGGGUGAAAAGCCCGCUCGCCGGAAGACCAAGGGUUCCUGUCCAACGUUAAUCGGGGCAGGGUGAGUCGACCCCUAAGGCGAGGCCGAAAGGCGUAGUCGAUGGGAAACAGGUUAAUAUUCCUGUACUUGGUGUUACUGCGAAGGGGGGACGGAGAAGGCUAUGUUAGCCGGGCGACGGUUGUCCCGGUUUAAGCAUGUAGGCUGAUUGUCCAGGCAAAUCCGGAUAAUCAAGGCUGAGGUGUGAUGACGAGGCACUACGGUGCUGAAGUAACAAAUGCCCUGCUUCCAGGAAAAGCCUCUAAGCAUCAGGUAACAUCAAAUCGUACCCCAAACCGACACAGGUGGUCAGGUAGAGAAUACCAAGGCGCUUGAGAGAACUCGGGUGAAGGAACUAGGCAAAAUGGUGCCGUAACUUCGGGAGAAGGCACGCUGGUGUGUAGGUGAAGUCCCUGCGGAUGGAGCUGAGACCAGUCGAAGAUACCAGCUGGCUGCAACUGUUUAUUAAAAACACAGCACUGUGCAAACACGAAAGUGGACGUAUACGGUGUGACGCCUGCCCGGUGCCGGAAGGUUAAUUGAUGGGGUUAUCCGUAAGGAGAAGCUCUUGAUCGAAGCCCCGGUAAACGGCGGCCGUAACUAUAACGGUCCUAAGGUAGCGAAAUUCCUUGUCGGGUAAGUUCCGACCUGCACGAAUGGCGUAAUGAUGGCCAGGCUGUCUCCACCCGAGACUCAGUGAAAUUGAACUCGCUGUGAAGAUGCAGUGUACCCGCGGCAAGACGGAAAGACCCCGUGAACCUUUACUAUAGCUUGACACUGAACAUUGAGCCUUGAUGUGUAGGAUAGGUGGGAGGCUUUGAAGCGUGGACGCCAGUCUGCGUGGAGCCAACCUUGAAAUACCACCCUUUAAUGUUUGAUGUUCUAACGUUGGCCCCUUACCGGGGUUGCGGACAGUGUCUGGUGGGUAGUUUGACUGGGGCGGUCUCCUCCCAAAGCGUAACGGAGGAGCACGAAGGUUAGCUAAUCCUGGUCGGACAUCAGGAGGUUAGUGCAAUGGCAUAAGCUAGCUUGACUGCGAGCGUGACGGCGCGAGCAGGUGCGAAAGCAGGUCAUAGUGAUCCGGUGGUUCUGAAUGGAAGGGCCAUCGCUCAACGGAUAAAAGGUACUCCGGGGAUAACAGGCUGAUACCGCCCAAGAGUUCAUAUCGACGGCGGUGUUUGGCACCUCGAUGUCGGCUCAUCACAUCCUGGGGCUGAAGUAGGUCCCAAGGGUAUGGCUGUUCGCCAUUUAAAGUGGUACGCGAGCUGGGUUUAGAACGUCGUGAGACAGUUCGGUCCCUAUCUGCCGUGGGCGCUGGAGAAUUGAGGGGGGCUGCUCCUAGUACGAGAGGACCGGAGUGGACGCAUCACUGGUGUUCGGGUUGUCAUGCCAAUGGCACUGCCCGGUAGCUAAAUGCGGAAGAGAUAAGUGCUGAAAGCAUCUAAGCACGAAACUUGCCCCGAGAUGAGUUCUCCCUGAGACUUUAAGUCUCCUGAAGGAACGUUGAAGACGACGACGUUGAUAGGCCGGGUGUGUAAGCGCAGCGAUGCGUUGAGCUAACCGGUACUAAUGAACCGUGAGGCUUAACCUUACAACGCCGAAG